AUUGAACGCUGGCGGCAUGCUUUACACAUGCAAGUCGAACGGUAACAGGCCGCAAGGUGCUGACGAGUGGCGAACGGGUGAGUAAUGCAUCGGAACGUGCCCAGUCGUGGGGGAUAACGCAGCGAAAGCUGCGCUAAUACCGCAUACGAUCUCUGGAUGAAAGCGGGGGACCGAAAGGCCUCGCGCGAUUGGAGCGGCCGAUGGCAGAUUAGGUAGUUGGUGGGGUAAAGGCCCACCAAGCCAACGAUUUGUAGCUGGUCUGAGAGGACGACCAGCCACACUGGGACUGAGACACGGCCCAGACUCCUACGGGAGGCAGCAGUGGGGAAUUUUGGACAAUGGGCGCAAGCCUGAUCCAGCAAUGCCGCGUGCAGGAAGAAGGCCUUCGGGUUGUAAACUGCUUUUGUACGGAACGAAACGGUCCGGGUUAAUACCCUGGGCUAAUGACGGUACCGUAAGAAUAAGCACCGGCUAACUACGUGCCAGCCGCCGCCGUAAUAC
rnacentral:rRNA from 1 species